AAUUUUGUAUAAAAAAAAACUUAAAUCUCUCUCUAAACGGCGCUUCUCUAAAACGGUGUUUCUCCUGAGCUCACGCGACGUCUUCUCCAAUGCUGAUUCACGGUGGGACGAACCAACCGGUGAAGCUGUUGACGAAGUCAUCUUCCUUAGCCGCCACACCGCCGCCUCGAAUCACCCUGCUCUCACUAUGAAUCCGAUUGGAGAGCUUCACUUAAAAGGAAAAUUGCCGCCGCAAUGAGGACGGCCAGGGUGGGCGGCGUUGGUAAACCCUAGGAUUGGUUCAUGGCUGCGUCUUUUGAAGAAAAUCAGAAUCUGAUUAAAAUGUAGUAUGCGAAGUAUGUAUUGAGCUGGAUUCCUUUAGAUUUACAGAGAAAUUUUGGUUGAUGAUUAAAGGUGAAAAGUCUAUGUACCUGACUUUGUAUCUGACCAUAGUGGCCUGAAUCUUUGGAGGAUCUAGUUUGAUUAAAGAUUAUAUAUAUGCUACCUUUAAUAGU